rnacentral:rRNA from 1 species
UGGGGAAUUUUGGACAAUGGGGGCAACCCUGAUCCAGCCAUCCCGCGUGUGCGAUGAAGGCCUUCGGGUUGUAAAGCACUUUUGGCAGGGAAGAAACAGCCUGGGAUAAUACCCCGGGCGACUGACGGUACCUGCAGAAUAAGCACCGGCUAACUACGUGCCAGCAGCCGCGGUAAUACGUAGGGUGCAAGCGUUAAUCGGAAUUACUGGGCGUAAAGCGUGCGCAGGCGGUUCGGAAAGAAAGGUGUGAAAUCCAGGGCUUAACCUUGGAACUGCACUUUAACUACCGAGCUAGAGUACGUCAGAGGGGGGUAGAAUUCCACGUGUAGCAGUGAAAUGCGUAGAGAUGUGGAGGAAUACCGAUGGCGAAGGCAGCCCCCUGGGAUGAUACUGACGCUCAUGCACGAAAGCGUGGGGAGCAAACAGGAUUAGAUACCCUGGUAGUCCACGCCCUAAACGAUGUCAACUAGCUGUUGGGGUUUAUUAACCUUAGUAGCGCAGCUAACGCGUGAAGUUGACCGCCUGGGGAGUACGGUCGCAAGAUU